UUUUUUCAAUGUUCCUUUCUGGGCGCGAAGUCAGGGAAAUAUUCGCAAGGAUGGAGAACAUUCAACAGAAUCAGUAUGCAAUCAAGCAUGGAAUGGAUUCCAGAUAGGAAUAUAGGAUUCACCUUACACUCAGAAACUGGGGGAUAGGCCUAGUUGUUCAAAAUACACGGCGUUGCUGCAUGGACUUGAAGAGAUAGUUAUGAAUUUAGAAUAUCAUCAAGUGACUUAAAAUUAAUAAGGCACUGUUUUCAGUGGAUGAACCGACAUCAUGCAGUGUGACAGGAAAACGCCCGUGAGAUCAAAGAUGGCUUAGAUAAAAGGGAAGACGAUGCAGAAGCCUCUGUACCAGAGAAAAAUCCAGAGAUGGCCCUCAAAGAAGUUAGAAACAAGAUGAGAGACCGUCUCAAGUUGUUUAGGUCUGGAGCCACCUUCCCCCACCCACGAGUCGAAGAAAUAGAUCUUUGAACCAGGUUACC